rnacentral:rRNA from 1 species
UACGUAGGCAGCGAGCGUUGUUCGGAGUUACUGGGCGUAAAGGGUGUGUAGGCGGUUUCUUAAGUUUGGUGUGAAAUCUCCCGGCUUAACCGGGAGGGUGCGCCGAAUACUGAGGGACUAGAGUGCGGGAGAGGAAAGUGGAAUUCCUGGUGUAGCGGUGAAAUGCGUAGAGAUCGUAAGGAAGACCAGUGGCGAAGGCGAGUUUCUGGACAGUAACUGACGCUGAGGCACGAAGGCCAGGGGAGCAAACGGG